rnacentral:lncRNA from 1 species
CAGGAACUUAUGCUGGAGAUGGCUCAAGGCAGCCUAGUGAAUUGGAAUUGGCUCAAGCUUUCCAUCAGGGAAAGUACUUUGCGGGCAUUGCAAAGAAGCUCAAGGGAUCUCAAUGAUUUUUAUCCUCCAUAUAUCUCCCACACCAUAUUCUGUGUCAAAUAAAAUGAGAUGUUAGAAGCAAAAAUAAAAUAAAAGUGUGAGAGAAUAAAGUAAUACUUCAUAUAUCUUCGAUACAAUUGUUGUCACCACUUGUCAUCGUCGUAUCCUGUAAUGCAGUUUUUAUUGUCAAUAACAAGAAUUUGGUAAUUAAUACUGGAAACUCGGUGCUAAUAAAAUUGAUCACUAUCAGCCAUCUAACUAAUGUGUGCUUUGUGUUAAAUUGAUCACUAUCAGGUCAAGGAUUUGAAUUUAUAGAUAGGUACUGUUUAGUAUUUUUGUAUAUUAUAUAGUUAAAGAGGAGAAUGCGUACAGGAUAUAAGGGGUACCAUCCCUUACAAGUUUGUUGCUGCAUAAAAACAUGUAUGCCUCUACAACAGAAUCUGCUAUCGCAAAAUAAAACACUAAACUAUAUAUAUUCCCGUACCAGUUAAUUCCCACCUAUCUAUGUACCCAACACAUCAAUAGUAUAGCAUGUGUUUUACAAAAAAUCUCCCCAUCAACCUAGCAUUAACAAAAUCUCCUCCACGGUUUUGUUUCUGUCAAGACUACCUCCUCUAAAAAUACAUGCACCUAGCUUGUGUUGUUUGCUUUGAUCCCCCAAUAAGACUAUGUUGCUAGAAAUGAGCUUGUGGAUUUUCUGGUAGCACUGUCGUGAGUUGCAGCCAGGAAUAACAAUCAAACCACAUUUGUGUCACCUUAGAGCAAGAAAAGAACAUGAGCCACUGUUUAGGCUUCUUCUUGUUGACAAAUAAGGACACAACCAACUAUUGCUAUGCAACUGAAUGUUUCUUUUCUUGAGAUUAUAGUUGGCAACCUUUCUAUACAUUACAUAGUUUCCAUAUGAAGAUGACAAUGUUUUGAAGAAUAAACAAUUUCCACAUUACCGAAAAAAUGUGAUAGCUUUGAUGAGUAUCCAGAUGUAAGCUGUAUAAAGCCUUAUAUGCUCAGUUAACCGAGUAUUCUUCAGAGCUUUCUAUUUGUCUUCCCUAUCUAACUUUGGCUAGACAUUCCUCAGCAUAUUAUUCAUAUUUUCAACCAAAUCUUCUUCCCACUGAAAUCUCGUCCUCCUCCACUUAAAUUCCCAAAUCCAAUCCUCACCAACCCAUUUUUUCCCACUUUUCCAACUACCUCAUUCUGCUGUUCUGAUAUCAUGUUUUGCAAAGCUCUCUUCAUGUAACCAAUUGUCUUGCCAAAAUCUUAUAUGACUUUCCACACCUAAAUCUCAUGUUACCAUUUAAUGGCUCUCUUACUUUUAUAUUUUUUCAUAAAUUUUAAUCAACAGUAAAAUGUGUAUUAGAGUUUAGAGAUCAAGUGUGCUGCUAGCAUUCCUUAUAUUCUUAUACCCAAUCCCAUUAUUUAACGAUGAAAAACACAACUAUCAACUAAUAAAAUUGUUGUAUGUACAAGGACUUUUUCCAAAGAACGUAAAAUGUUUUGAAUAAUUAAUUUUAUAAAUAAAUUUUUUAUUUAUGCAUUAAUUUUUAUUUCAUAGUAGUAACAAACUAUUAUUUUAAUGGUGAUAAAAAUUCUAUUUAACCACGUUUUAAGUUUUUAUAUUUUUUAAAUAAUUAAUACCUAUAUACAUUACAUGGGAUGAUGGGAUGAGAUAUAAAUAUAUUAUUUUAAAAUUUAAUUAUAUUUUAUAGCAUAUUAUUUUUUCUAUAUGUUAAGAAUAAAGAAGAAGAAAACCCAACAUUAGAGGAUAGCUAGGACACUAGUUCAAGAGCAAAAGACAGAUUUUUUUAUCCACAAAGUAUGUUAUAAUGGUGCAAUAGUAUAAGAAAUUAUAAAUCAUUGUGAAACUAAUGGAGAACAUGGACGUGAUUUUAGCUACUAACCGUUUGUAUGACGUAAGUUUGAGGAUUGACCAUUUGACCCACCAAUUAUGCAUCAGCCACCAUCGUCUUGGACAGUUGGACUAAUCAAAAGUGAAACUCAAUAAAAAAAAUGAUAAUAGUAAUAAUUGACAAAAGACAAUAAUGAUUAAAUAAAUAAGUUACUACAUAAUUAUUUUCUUAAAAGAAAUUAUUGCAUAAUUACAAAGUAGAAAAAUUCCUACGUAUGUUCUUGAUGAAACAUUUUUUCUCUUUUUUGUCCUGUUCUUUUAUUUUUGAUAAUUUCUGUAUGAAAAAUCCUUAAAAGCAUAUUUUUUAACAGAAUUCAUUAAGAUUGGCCAAGAAAGGCUCAAAGAUGAAAACAACUAUCCAAAAGUGUGGCGGCCCAGCAGUACACAACAAAAAAUCUGUGAUAGCAAAUGUAAUUUUGGGAACAAUACGACUAAUUAAAUGGCUCUCUUAUAAUAAUAAUAAAGUUAUCACAUAAUUGAGGGAGACAAGGCCGGCCUAGGCAUAAGGCUUCUUAACCAUUAGGCGGUCUAAAUUUUUAUUUUAACCCUCUCAACAAAAAACAUGAAUAGUUAUUGAAAAUCCAAACAUGACAUUAAGGAGUGUCAAAGUUUGCAACGGAAGUACCAAGUGCAUGUAACAACCCCAACUAAAUCACUAUAAAAAUAUUAUCAUUAACUUUAAAAAAAUCUCACCACUUUUUAAAUCUAAAAAAAUGGUGAAAGGUGACACUAUAAGUAUAGGUACCUUGUCAAGUGUCAUUCAUCAACACCUUUUGGUUUCCACGGAUAUUUGGAGACAACACAGGGCAAUAUAGGUUACUAAUAAUGGUUACCAAGGUUUACAUUGUGUAAGACAUU